rnacentral:lncRNA from 1 species
AUUUUUUUUAUAAUCACUUUUAAUUGUGGAAUUUUCAAACAAAACAAUUCAGCCAUUUCCCAAGGACAACACACCAUUUAAUACACUACUUAAUUACUACAGAAAUUCUUACAGCUAUUCAGUACAAAGCUCCUAUGCUUUUAUGCUUUAAAGACAGAAACAAAAUUUGGUGGGAGGAUCACCUAGCUGCCAGGGAUGCGAUUUUAGCAUCACUAUGAGAAUACAGCCAAAUUUGACAAUAGACCUACCUUAGCUCAUUCAGGACCAGCAGAAACAUCUUUGUGUAUGGACAGAUAAUACACAAAAAGUUUGUCUGAAAUAAGGGUGCUAUUUAUGCAUGUACAUGAGAGUCAUAAAGGCUAAGAGAAGACCUUACUGGCACUGCUUUUCAAAAUGCGGAAUGUUGUGGGAUGUCUUUCCUGUGCUUUCAGUGUCUUUGCUUCUGAAUCCAUGUAGCAAAGAGCAUGCAGAUAUAGACUGAAGGGAAGCAAAAGGAGUAGGAAAAGAAGAUGAAUGGAGGUAAGACACUGCAAAAAGAGCACAAGAACAUGGAGGUCAGACAGUUCAUUGGGAACCAGAGGGGAGUGCCUGCCCUUCACUGUGUGCAUGUGGGAGGCUGGCACCUUGGGAAAAUUUCAGCAGGAAUCCAGACUGGCCAGCUGUGGCACCACACAUUGUCCCCUGUGACAAGUCUCACUGGAAACAAGGGGGAGAGAGAUAAGUAUAUAGGUAAGCCUGUUGUGACAGACAUUUAAGUAAUACAGUAAUACAAAGAACUGAAGGUUCAAAGAAAAACUUACGCAUCUGUAAAAAAAUAAUUUCAAUGCAUAAGCAGUGUUUUUAUCUACAAAAUAAUACCUUCAAGUGGGAGAAUAGUAUUUUAGGUUAUAAACAUUUUUUUUUACAGUCAGAGUAUUUAUCCAGAUUGCAUAAAUACUUAAAAUAUAUGUAAUAACCAUUUGCCUAACUUGAAAUAACAGUUAGGAUUUUAUUUGCCAAACUAUUUUGGCUCCUCAAAUGAGCCAGUAUGUGCACUAAGCUUAUAGUUUGUCUUUCUUUAUAUUUU